rnacentral:rRNA from 1 species
GAGUUUAUCCUGCUCAGGAUGAACGUGGGCGGCGUGCCUAAUACAUGCAAGUCGAACGAAGACUGUAGUAAUACUGUCUUAGUGGCGAACGGGUGAGUAACGCGUGGGUGACCUGCCCCGAAGUGUGGGAUAACAGUCCGAAAGGAUUGCUAAUACUGCAUAAUAUCCAAGAGAUUAGACGCUUUUGGAUUAAAGGAGUAAUUCGCUUCGGGAGGGGCCCGCGUCCCAUCAGCUAGUUGGUAAGGUAAUGGCUUACCAAGGCGAUGACGGGUAGGGGACCUGAGAGGGUGGCCCCCCACAAUGGAACUGAAACACGGUCCAUACACCUACGGGUGGCAGCAGUAGGGAAUAUUAGUAAUGGGCGAAAGCCUGAACUAGCAACGCCGCGUGUGCGAAGAAGGCCUUCGGGUCGUAAAGCACUUUUUGAGAGGAUGAGGAAGGACGGUACUCUCAGAAUAAGUCUCGGCUAACUACGUGCCAGCAGCCGCGGUAACACGUAGGAGGCAAACGUUAUCCGGAUUUACUGGGCGUAAAGCGCGUGUAGGUGGUUUGGUAAGUAGGGCGUGAAAGCUCCUGGCUCAACUGGGAGAGGACGUUCUAAACUGCCAAGCUUGAGGAUGGUAGAGGGAGGUGGAAUUCCGGGUGUAGCGGUGGAAUGCGCAGAUAUCCGGAGGAACACCAGUGGCGAAGGCGGCCUCCUGGACCACUCCUGACACUCAGACGCGAAAGCUAGGGUAGCAAACGGGAUUAGAGACCCCGGUAGUCCUAGCCCUAAACGAUGUAGACUUGGCGUCGGUGGUUUAAUCCCCAUCGGUGUCGUAGCUAACGCGAUAAGUCUACCGCCUGGGGACUACGGCCCGCAAGGUUAAAUCUCAAAACG